rnacentral:rRNA from 1 species
UUGUUGGUGAGGUAAAGGCUUACCAAGGCUUCGAUCAGUAGCUGGUCUGAGAGGACGGCCAGCCACACUGGGACUGAGACACGGCCCAGACUCCUACGGGAGGCAGCAGUGGGGAAUUUUGGACAAUGGGGGCAACCCUGAUCCAGCCAUGCCGCGUGAGUGAAGAAGGCCUUCGGGUUGUAAAGCUCUUUCAGCCGGAACGAAACGGUUACGGUUAAUACCCGUGACUACUGACGGUACCGGAAGAAGAAGCACCGGCUAACUACGUGCCAGCAGCCGCGGUAAUACGUAGGGUGCAAGCGUUAAUCGGAAUUACUGGGCGUAAAGCGUGCGCAGGUGGUUUUGUAAGUCAGAUGUGAAAUCCCCGGGCUUAACCUGGGAACUGCGUUUGAAACUACAAGGCUAGAGUGUGGCAGAGGGGGGUGGAAUUCCGCGUGUAGCAGUGAAAUGCGUAGAUAUGUGGAGGAACACCGAUGGCGAAGGCAGCCCCCUGGGUCAACACUGACGCUCAGGCACGAAAGCAUGGGGAGCAAACAGGAUUAGAUACCCUGGUAGUCCAUGCCCUAAACGAUGUCAACUAGUUGUCGGGCCUUAACGGGCUUGGUAACGUAGCUAACGCGUGAAGUUGACCGCCUGGGGAGUACGAUCGCAAGAUUAAAACUCAAAGGAAUUGACGGGGACCCGCACAAGCGGUGGAUUAUGUGGAUUAAUUCGAUGCAACGCGAAAAACCUUACCUACCCUUGACAUGUAUCGAAGCCCGCAGAGAAGCGGGUGUGCCCGAAAGGGAACGAUAACACAGGUGCUGCAUAGCUGUCGUCAGCUCGUGUCGUGAGAUGUUGGGUUAAGUCCCGCAACGAGCGCAACCCUUGUCAUUAAUUGCCAUCAUUUAGUUGGGCACUUUAAUGAGACUGCCGG